UGGUUGUCGUCAGCCCGUGUCGUGAGAUGUUGGGUUAAGUCCCGCAACGAGCGCAACCCUUGAUCUUAGUUGCCAGCACUUCGGGUGGGCACUCUAGGAUGACUGCCGGUGACAAACCGGAGGAAGGUGGGGAUGACGUCAAAUCAUCAUGCCCCUUAUGACCUGGGCUACACACGUACUACAAUGGUCGAUACAACGGGAAGCGAAGCCGCGAGGUGGAGCCAAUCCUAUCAAAGUCGAUCUCAGUUCGGAUUGCAGGCUGCAACUCGCCUGCAUGAAGUCGGAAUUGCUAGUAAUCGCGGAUCAG
rnacentral:rRNA from 1 species